AUUGACACACACAUGUAUCUCAAUAAGAUCUACAAAAAAGUCAGUGCGGGCGUAUCUGUCAAAUGUACGGUUAAAGGGUUAUUUCGCAUUUUUUGCCGAUCCGCACACAUUGGAAUUUCGCUAACUCCUCCGAAGGCUUUCGUUCCACCGGCACCACAUUUGCUCAGGCCAAUCUACACUCCAUGGCCAUUCAAAGUUGUACAAAUCAUGAUGCUGCACCCCAUGGUUUAGGUUCUAGGGGGCACCAAAAAUAACGCAAAAAUCCACAUUCUUAAAAGUUUUAUAACUUUUUAUUUUUGUCCUCACUGGCCUCCAAGUUUUCUAGGAUGAUGCAAUGUCCAGCCAUCAACACAUUUGUGAAGGAAUUUUUACUCCCCAAAAGAGCGCCCCCCCAUGGCAGGACAAAAAAGUCAAUUUUUUCUUGUCCCCUAAGGUGAAAAUUUACAUUGUUGAGUGUCACGCCUGUACGCUUUGUCAUAUUGACAAAAAAUUUGACACACACGUGUAUCUCAAUAAGAUCUACGAAAAAGUCAAUGCGCGCGUAUCUGUAAAAUGUACGGCUAAACGGCUAUUUUGCAUUUUUUGCCGAUUCGCACACAUUGGAAUGUGGCUAACUCCUCCUAAGGCUUUCGUCCCACUGACACCAAAUUUGCUCAGGCCAAUCUACACCCCAUGGCCAUUCAAAGUUGUAAAAAUCAUGCCGCUGCACCCCAUGGUUUACGUUCUAGGGGGCGCCAAAGAUGACCCAAAUAUCCACAUUCUUAAAAGUCGUUUUGGCCACUGCAGGAGUACAGAGUACUGCAGGAUACACACACACAGACACACACACACACAGACACACACACACACACACACACACACACACACACACACACACACACACACACACACACACACACACACAUACACACUCAGAGUCUGUUUUUCAGCACCUGCAAAAACAUGCUAUUUACAUAUUUGACAACAAUGCAGAGACUUCCUUUUGCCCCUGAAAAAAAUGAAAUUUCAAACGCAACUUGACUGCUCAUUUCUCCAAAAGACAACCAUGAAGCUCCAUCCAAACCUGAAGCAGGCAGUUGGUGCAUGUGUACAGUAACCUGAGGGGAGUGAGGUGACUGCUUCUGAGGAGAACAUGAGCAGUCAAGAUUCACCUUGGAGCUAGAACAGGGACGUGCACAUGAUUAUACAGGGGCAGGGGCUCAAGUUUUUUCCAGUCGUUUAGACAAUAUGGAAAUUAAUGUGAAAUUAAAAAACAAAGUAUUAAUAGAAAGGUAAUGACUGUCCUGUGUAGGUGACAGUGAUAUCCAAUGGGCUAGGCACUCACGAGGCUGGCUGUGGCAAGUGCAAGUGAAAGCCACACGCACUGGCAGGAAGAACAGCAAACGCCGAUGAAGGAAAAGGGUCUUUGCAGUGAUGGGCGUUACCAGAGAGGACGAUGGCCAGAGGACGCGAAUGGGACGGGGAGGCAGCGCGUUGGGGGGGGGGGGGGGCACAGCUCGGGCCCGCCAGUGCCCCAACGGGGCCCUAGUGUUAUUAUUAGGGCCCGAGCGUAGCUGCUAAGCAGCUGCGAGAGCCCUAUUAUUCCCCAAGGGGUUUUUCUUUGUUAGGGCCCGAGCGUAGCUGCUAAGCAGCUGCGAGAGCCCUAUUAUUCCUGAUGGAUUCUUCUUUAGGGCCCGAGCGUAGCUGCUAAGCAGCUGCGAGAGCCCUCUUGUUCCUGUAGUUUCCUUCUUUAGGGCCCGAGCGUAGCUGCUAAGCAGCUGCGAGAGCCCUCUUGUUCCUGAUGGAUUCUUCUUUCGUUAUUUUUCCUCCGCUUUAAACUGGAAAAUGGCCCACUUCCCACUGGCGAAAACUCAGGAAAUUUGGCAGGACGACCGGGCCUGGUGAAAAAUUCGAUAUUCUGAAGUCGCCCAAACAAAAAAAUGAAAAAUGGCUCCAUAGCGCCCCCUAUGGUGAAAACUCACCUGACGCCUGUACGCUUUGUCAAAAUGACACAAAAUUUGACACACAUGUGUAUCUCAAUAAGAUCUACAAAAAAGUCAGUGCGGGCGUAUCUGUCAAAUGUACGGUUAAAGGGCUAUUUCGCAUUUUUUGCCGAUCCGCACACAUUGGAAUUUCGCUAACUCCUCCGAAGGCUUUCGUUCCACCGGCAACAAAUUUUCUCAGGACAAUCUACACCCCAUGGCCAUUAAAAGUUGUACAAAUCAUGACGCUGCACCCCACGGUUUACAUUCUAGGGGGCGCCAAAGAUAACCCAAAAAUCCACAGUCUUAAAAGUCUUAUAACUUUUUAUUUUUGUCCUCACUGGCCUCCAAGUUUUCUAGGAUGAUGCAAUGUCCAGCCAUCAACACAUUUGUGAAGAAAUUUUUACUCCCCAAAAGAGCGCCCCCCCAUGGCAGGAGAAAAAAGUCCAUUUUUUCUUGUCCCCUAAGGUGAAAAUACACAUUGUUGAGUGUCAUGCCUGAACGCUUUGUCAUAUUGACACAAAAUUUGACACACACGUGUAUCUCAAUAAGAUCUACGAAAAAGUCAAAGAGCGCGUAUCUGUAUAAUGUACGGUUAAAGGGCUAUUUCGCAUUUUUUGCCGAUCCGCACACAUUGGAAUUUCGCUAACUCCUCCGAAGGCUUUCGUUCCACCGGCACCAAAUUUGCUCAGGCCAAUCUACACCCCAUGGCCAUUAAAAGUUGUACAAAUCAUGACGCUGCACCCCACGGUUUAGGUUCUAGGGGGCGCCAAAGAUAACCCAAAAAUCCACAUUCUUAAAAGUCUUAUAACUUUUUAUUUUUGUCCUCACUGGCCUCCAAGUUUUCUAGGAUGAUGCAAUGUCCAGCCAUCAACACAUUUGUGAAGGAAUUUUUACUCCCCAAAAGAGCGCCCCCCCAUGGCAGGAGAAAAAAGUAAAUUUUUUCUUGUCCCAUAAGGUGAAAAUACACAUUGUUGAGUGUCACGCCUGUACGCUUUGUCAUAUUGACACAAAAUUUGACACACACAUGUAUCUCAAUAAGAUCUACGAAAAAGUCAAUGCGCGCGUAUCUGCAAAAUGUACGGUUAAAGGGCUAUUUCGCAUUUUUGGUUGAUUCGCACACAUUGGAAUGUGGCUAACUCCUCCUAAAGCUUUCGUUCCACCGGCACCAAAUUUGCUCAGGCCAAUCUACACCCCAUGGCCAUUAAAAGUUGUACAAAUCAUGAUGCUGCACCCCACGGUUUACGUUCUAGGGGUCGCCAAAGAUAACCCAAAAAUCCACAUUCUUAAAAGUCUUAUAACUUUUCAUUUUUGUCCUCACUGGCUUCAAAGUUUUCUAGGAUGAUGCAAUGUCUAGCCAUCAACACAUUUGUGAAGGAAUUUUUUCUCCCUAAAAGAGUGCCCCCCCAUGGCAGGAGAAAAAGUCAAGUUUUUCCUGCCCAUCGCUCAAUGGCUCAAACACAUCGCUCUCUCGGAAAAAAACGAAAGGAGGAGGAACUUGCCAUUUGGAUAUAUCCUAGCUGUGUUUGUGCCCUCACUCAUGGUCCAGACUUUUUUCAAAUAGGACAUGUAGUUUGUCUGCAGCAAGCGUUUUGGUAGAAACUGCGCCUCCCAUUCAUUAUAAUGGUAAAUGACCACAGACAAGUGCGCACACCAUCGUUGAACCUUGAGUGUGACGCGAUCGGGAGGGAGAGGCGGUCGUGUUGGGGGCGGCGUGACACAGCUCGGGCCCGCCAGUGCCCCAACGGGGCCCUAGUUAGGGCCCGAGCGUAGCUGCUAAGCAGCUGCGAGAGCCCUCUUGUUCCUGUAGUUUCCUUCUUUUGUUAUUAGGGCCCGAGCGUAGCUGCUAAGCAGCUGCGAGAGCCCUCUUGUUCCUGCAUGUUUCCUUCUUUUGUUAUUAUUAUUAUUUUUCCUCCCCUUUAAACUGGAAAAUGGCCCACUUCCCACUGGCGAAAACUCAUGAAAUUUGGCAGGACGACCGGGCCUGGUGAAAAAUUUGAUAUUCCGAAGUCGCCCAAACAAGAAAAUGCAAAAUGGCUCCAUAGCGCCCCCUAAGGUGAAAAUUCACACUAUUGACUGUCACGCCUGUACGCUUUGUCAAAAUGACACAAAAAUUGACACACAUAUGUAUCUCAAUAAGAUCUACAAAAAAGUCAGUGCGGGCGUAUCUGUCAAAUGUACGGUUAAAGGGUUAUUUCGCAUUUUUUGGCGAUCCGUACACAUUGGAAUUUCGCUAACUCCUCCGAAGGCUUUCGUUCCACCGGCACCACAUUUGCUCAGGCCAAUCUACACCCCAUGGCCAUUAAAAGUUAUUCAAAUCAUGACGCUGCACCCCACGGUUUAGGUUCUAGGGGGCGCCAAAGAUAACCCUAAAAUCCACAUAUUUAAAAGUCUUAUAACUUUUUAUUUUUGUCCUCACUGGCCUCCAAGUUUUCUAGGAUGAUGCAAUGUCCAGCCAUCAACACAUUUGUGAAGGAAUUUUUACUC